rnacentral:rRNA from 1 species
CAAUAGCGUAUAUUAAAGUUGUUGCAGUUAAAAAGCUCGUAGUUGGAUUUCUGGUUGAAGCGACCGGUCGGGCGUUGAUUCGUCUGCACUGGAGUCGGUUUUGGCCAUCCUCUAGGAAAGUGCGUCUGGUAUUAAGUUAUCGGGCGUAUGAUCCUGGUCUUUUACUGUGAAAAAAUUAGAGUGUUUAAAGCAGGCCUUCGCCUUGAAUACAUUAGCAUGGAAUAAUAAGAUAGGACUUUGGUCUAUUUUGUUGGUUUGCAGACCGAAGUAAUGAUUAAUAGGGAUAGUUGGGGGUAUUUAUAUUCCGAUGUCAGAGGUGAAAUUCUUAGAUUUUCGGAAGAUAAACUUAUGCGAAAGCAUCUACCAAGGAUGUUUUCAUUA